rnacentral:rRNA from 1 species
GUCUGCGUCCAUACUACCCUGAACACACCUGGUCUUAGCAACUAAGCAGGGUUAGGGAUGGUUAGCACUUGGAUAGGAGACUGCCUGGGAAUACCUGGUGCUGUAGGCU